rnacentral:rRNA from 1 species
GUUAGUUGUCCAUCAUUCAGUUGGGCGACUCUAGCGAGACUGCCGGUAAUAAACCGGAGGAAGGUGGGGAUGACGUCAAAUCAUCAUGCCCCUUAUGACCUGGGCUACACACGUGCUACAAUGGUUGGUACAACGAGUUGCGAGUCGGUGACGGCGAGCUAAUCUCUUAAAGCCAAUCUCAGUUCGGAUUGUAGGCUGCAACUCGCCUACAUGAAGUCGGAAUCGCUAGUAAUCGCGGAUCAGCACGCCGCGGUGAAUACGUUCCCGGGCCUUGU